rnacentral:rRNA from 1 species
GACGAACGCUGGCGGCGUGCUUAACACAUGCAAGUCGAACGGAAAGGCCCUGCUUUUGUGGGGUGCUCGAGUGGCGAACGGGUGAGUAACACGUGAGUAACCUGCCCUUGACUUUGGGAUAACUUCAGGAAACUGGGGCUAAUACCGGAUAGGAGCUCCUGCUGCAUGGUGGGGGUUGGAAAGUUUCGGCGGUUGGGGAUGGACUCGCGGCUUAUCAGCUUGUUGGUGGGGUAGUGGCUUACCAAGGCUUUGACGGGUAGCCGGCCUGAGAGGGUGACCGGCCCAAUGGGGCGGGGGGUACGCCCAGGAGCCUACCGGGGGGAGGGGGGGGGAAUAUUGGCCAAUGGGGGGAAGGCUGAUGCAGGAACGCCGCGUGCGGGAUGACGGGCUUCGGGUUGUAAACCGCUUUCGCCUGUGACGAAGCGUGAGUGACGGUAAUGGGUAAAGAAGCACCGGCUAACUACGUG